AAAACAUAGUUUUGAGAUGUUGAUUAUUCAAAAUUUUCCCUGCCCACUGAGUUUUAUAUAUUUAAAUGGCCGCAGUACUUUGACUGUGCUAAGGUAGCAUAAUAAUUUGGCUUUUAAUUGAAGUCGAGAAUGAACGGGACUUUAAUCAGGAUCUGUCUCAAUUAUAGAUUUAAAAAAAUUACUGAUUAGGUGAAAAUUCCUAAAUUUUAUUUUAAUAGACGAGAAGACCCUUAGAGUUUUUAUUAAUUAAGUACAUAAUCUAAUAUAUUUGAAUCUUUUCUAAUUCUCUUAUAAUUCUACCUUAUAAAUUUUUGUUGGGGCAACAAAUAAACAUAACAUGAAAACUUUAUUAAUCAGAUGUAUCAGUAAUUGUACACAUAUAAUCUCAUAAGACAAAAUUAAUUUUUUUGAAUAAAUUAAGACUACCUAAGGGAUAACAGCAUAAUUUAAAAUAUAAGAUUAUGACCUCGAUGUUGGAUUAGGGCCUAACUAGGUUAACCACUUAGAAAGAAGUGUUCUGUUCGAACAAAUAUCUCUCCUACAUGAUC
rnacentral:rRNA from 1 species